GGAAGGUCCCUAUCGGUCACGUUGACCAACACGUGCCGUUCUGUCAGACACCUACGCCAUGAUGUCGGAAACAUCGGUCCAGCCAACGUCCGAGACGAAUGUUACUAAAGGCUCGGCAUAAGACCGAGCCGGAGAGUCCCCCGUAGGGCAAGAUAGUCAGACAACUGUUGAUCAACCCAAUUAAUAAUAGCGCCCCAUCCCUUUACCUAUCGGAUCGGCGAAAUACCGUACCGAUAGGUGAAGGACGGCUAUUAAUUAUGAUUAGCAGGUAAGCGCAUGGUUAAGUCAGUAAGUAAGUAAUUAACAUCGUAUUACCUAAUUUAGUAAACACCUGCAAAGACCCACAAUGCUCAGGCCCACGUCAGGCACUAUAAAUAGGUCACACAUAACGAGGUAUGUCACUGUUCAUUUUUUACCCUAGAUAUUCGUGCAUAUACUGACUUGAGCGUCGGAGUACCCUUUGCAGGUACCUCCCCCAUCCCUUGGAGAUAUCGUUGGAGCUCUUAUUCGGUCCCCUUUCACCCAGAAGAAAAGGAGUGUGCCCUCAGACAGUUUACUGAAAAUAACUUUUGCACGGCUAAGUGCAACAGGGUCUGGAAGCAUAGGUUUGAUCGUUACGGCAGUAUACCUCUCCACCAUUCCCUUCCUAAUUCCUUCCAUGGUGGAAAGACUAAUAUCUACACAACCAUGUGUUAUCAACUCACAUGACCAACAAUAUGCAGGUUCUUCUUUAAAAGUUCUAGUUUCUCCUAAUUAUUCUGGUAUUCAACUUCUAAAGAUGUCUAACAUGUAUGUCUGCAAUAUAUGUUCUAAAAUCUACUCCGCAAAGUGAAUCUAAAUAUAUCACUGUUUGGAAAGCCACCUUAAUUGCAGUCACCCUACCUUGCCUUGGUUGUAGCCUUUGGGGGUUGCCUUAAUUAUAGUCUCAUGGGUGGUAAUUUAGUCUUAUAAUGUUUGGGCAGUUGUCAGCUUACAACCUAAUUUUGAUGACUAAUGUGUUAUUUUUAACUAACUAAUUUUGACCAUUUACAAUUCAGCUAACUCAUUUUCCCGGUAAAUGCAAUGGUGAAGAGUGAGUUAGUAAAUUGUCAAUUUUCUUGCUGAACACGAGUGGUAUAACCAUUGGCCUUUUUAAUUUGCUCUAAAACCUAACAAUAUAUGUCAAUGCUUUUUGGGCUGAUUGGGUUAACAGAAUGGACUAAGUUUGGACAAUUUAAACAACAAAUUUUGAAUUUAAAUUGCAGAGUGAUAAAAUGCAGACAUGUUUGAACAAUGGGGUUUGACUCAAUAGGAUUAAGAAGGAAUGUCGUUCAUAUUUUCAUUUGUACAUUUCAUUGCCUUAUUUGUUAUAAGAUAAAGAAAACUCUCUUAGCUCUUGAAAAUUAAAAGGGUCUACCUUAUGUCUCUGAAUUUCUCAUGGUUGACUUUUGGAUGGAGGCUCUACCAAAGUAUUGCGACACUUCAGCUACAUUAAACAAGUCUAAAAGGUUUUAGCCUAUAGAAGAUGAUGACGUCAUCUGGAAAAGAACAUAUCUGAUAUAGUGAGGCCUGUCUGUUUUAUGAUUGGACUAAGCUAUUUGUUAUUAAAGUUUAUAUUAAUAAUAGGAAUAUAACAAUGUCAACUCUGUUUUACGAAAUAGUCUCCCUUUGUGGAGUAAUAUAGUUAGUAACAUUUCUUAUCAUAGCAAAUUUUAAAUAUAGGUAUCAUCAAAUA